rnacentral:rRNA from 1 species
AGUGAACGCUGGCGGUGGGCCUAACACAUGCAAGUCGAACGGCAGCACUGUAAGCGUUCGCUUGUACCGGUGGCGUAUGGCGGAGGGGUGACGCAUUGAUCUGAGCCGUAUCUUUCUUGGAUCACUUCGUGAGGACACUUAUACUAACAGAGGAUACUACUUACGGGGGGAAUCAGGGGAGAUUCCGACCUUUCCCGUUUCUUAGAGACGGUGCCGGAUUAGCUAGUUGGCGGGGUAACGGCCCACCAAGGCAACGAUGCGUAGCUGGUCUGAGAGGAUGAUCAGCCACACUGGAACUGAGACACGGUCCAGACUCCUACGGGAGGCAGCAGUGGGGAAUCUUCGGCAAUGGGCGCAAGCCUGACCGAGCAAUACCGCGUGAGUGAAGAAGGUCUUCGGAUUGUAAAGCCCUGUUAUUAGGAAAGAAAAGCUGUGGGUGUAUACCCGGAUGUUCUGACGGUACCCAAACAGUAAGCACCGGCUAACUUCGUG